rnacentral:lncRNA from 1 species
GAUCGCUGAUGACUCCCUUAAACGCCCGGGCUGUGACUGAUUCUCCACGUCCCGCUGUCCACCGAGAUUCACCCGGGAGUUUUUUUUUUCACCCCAGAAAAGAAACAGACUUUAAAUAGUUUGAGGAGCAGGUAAGAAUUACGCGUUUUCCUCUCCCCCUUUCCGCGUCUCUCUCUCUCCUCUCUCUCCGUGGCAAUCGCUCUCUGCCUCUCGGCUGGAUAAAAAAUUCUUUAGUUAAAGGCAGGAAUGCAAAGUAGUGACAAGCGAAGGGGCUGAUGUAUGUCUCCGUAACGAGUCUGACAAUCAGAAUGUAGCUCUUGGAGAAUAGAUAGAUUUUAAUAAGUGUGUUUACAUGAGCUCAAGGUCAGAAGCAAGCUGCGCUGUGUUAAAUGGUUUCUUAGUUGCUAGACAGAGAGAAAAAAUGGACGACCACACACCAUUCUUUGUAGAUUAUUAUAUCAAGGGUUCAGUCUCCGGCUCAUCAAAGCUAAAUGCUGAAAGACCUAUCUAGUUGCUGUGAAUUACGCCAGGGCGACAAUGGAGAGCGUUUUUAAUGGUACAAUGCAUUUCACCUACCAGAUAGGGGGAGGCCGAGCAGGGGAUGGGAUGUCUGCUGGGGUUGGAUGAUGAGUAUCAAUGAACGGGGCGAUUCUGAAAUGAGCUUGAUGAAAAGCGAGCCUGCCCUGCUCGGGCUGGGCUGAGAGCACUUGGCCGGGCUCUGGCGAGUGGGCGACUGAGGCGCGCGAGCUGGGCGCCCGUCCCCCCUCAGCCCCGGAAAAUGAUCAAGUCAAUCAUGUGGACAUGUUUCAUUAUUCAUUGAACACAAUCUUUUACAACGCUCGGUUUACGUGCCCGAGUUUGCUCCCGACGCCCGCGUUUAAUGUUUUAAGGUAAGGCAAACAAAGGUGGUGGGGAGGCUGGGGUUGGGGGUGGGGGCGGCGGAGUGGAGGGGCGCGCGGGUGCCAGGUGGUGGUGGUGGCGGCCCUGAUCUCUGGGAGGUGGCAAAGUGAGUUUGGACACUUGGCGUGGUUCUCUCCCCCCUUCGCCUCCCCCUCCCCCCCACCAGGCGAGGCCUGUAACCCGGUUGCUUCUCACCCCAUCGCGAUUAAAAAAUAUGGUCUAAUUAAAUAUCCGUGGUUGUGACGUUGGCGAGAGAAGCUGUCAGCGGGGGUUAAGAGGAAAAGGGGGGGGGUAUGUGG